rnacentral:rRNA from 1 species
GGCCAGACUCCUACGGGAGGCAGCAGUGGGGAAUAUUGGGCAAUGGGCGCAAGCCUGACCCAGCAACGCCGCGUGAAGGAAGAAGGCUUUCGGGUUGUAAACUUCUUUUGUCAGGGAAGAGUAGAAGACGGUACCUGACGAAUAAGCCACGGCUAACUACGUGCCAGCAGCCGCGGUAAUACGUAGGUGGCAAGCGUCGUCCGGAUUUACUGGGUGUAAAGGGCGUGUAGCCGGGUUGACAAGUCAGAUGUGAAAACCACGGGCUCAACCUGUGGCCUGCAUUUGAAACUGUGUUUCUUGAGUACUGGAGAGGCAGACGGAAUUCCUAGUGUAGCGGUGAAAUGCGUAGAUAUUAGGAGGAACACCAGUGGCGAAGGCGGUCUGCUGGACAGCAACUGACGCUGAGGCGCGAAAGCGUGGGGAGCAAACAGGAUUAGAUACCCCAGUAC